rnacentral:rRNA from 1 species
GNUNANNGCCGGCGUGCUAUACAUGCAAGUCGAGCGGACGGAUGGGAGCUUGCUCCCUGAAGUCAGCGGCGGACGGGUGAGUAACACGUGGGCAACCUGCCUGUAAGACUGGGAUAACUCCGGGAAACCGGGGCUAAUACCGGAUAACUCUUUUCCUCACAUGAGGAAAAGCUGAAAGAUGGUUUCGGCUAUCACUUACAGAUGGGCCCGCGGCGCAUUAGCUAGUUGGUGAGGUAACGGCUCACCAAGGCCACAAUGCGUAGCCGACCUAAGAGGGUGAUCGGCCACUCUGGGACUGAUACACCGCCCAUACUUUUC